GACGAACUGUCCUAACGUUGUUCGGAAUCACUGGGCUUAAAGGGCGCAUAGGCGGUCGAUCAAGUCAGGGGUGAAAUCCUGCAGCUUAACUGUAGAAGUGCCUUUGAUACUGGUUGUCUUGAGGGAGGUAGGGGUGUGUGGAACUCACAGUGGAGCGGUGAAAUGCGUUGAUAUUGUGAGGAACGCCGGAGGCGAAAGCGACGCACUGGACCUCUUCUGACGCUGAGGCGCGAAAGCUAGGGGAGCAAACGGG
rnacentral:rRNA from 1 species